rnacentral:rRNA from 1 species
AGGACGAACGCUGGCGGCGUGCUUAACACAUGCAAGUCGAGCGGAAAGGCCCUUCGGGGUACUCGAGCGGCGAACGGGUGAGUAACACGUGAGUAAUCUGCCCCUAGCUCUGGGAUAGCUCCGGGAAACCGGGAUUAAUACCAGAUAUUACCACUUUAGACAUCUGUUGUGGUGGAAAGAAUUUUGGCUAGGGAUGAGCUCGCGGCCUAUCAGCUUGUUGGUGAGGUAACGGCUCACCAAGGCGACGACGGGUA